UUAUAAAAUCUAACUGUCAAUAAUAAGGUUGGUUUGGUCAGCAAUACUACUACUAGCCUACUAGGCUACCACUACUUAGAGUGAAGUUUAAUAUUUCAACCAUUUAUCCACUAACAUUUCUUUUAGCUAACUAUUUCAAACAUGUAGCCAGUACAUUACUUAUAACUAAUCAUUUGAACUAUUUAGCCAUUACUUUUAGCUAUCUGUUUAAACUUCUGUGCUUGCUUGCUAGCUAGUUUUAUCUAACCUAAUUCCAACAUGUUCAAAUUACAGCAUUAGAGCUCUACAAUCUUUCCACGUACCCCCUGGCAACAGCAGAAGUACCCCCUGGGGUACACGUACCCCUGGUUGGGAAUCACUGCAUUAAUGCAACAAUGA